AGGCAAUUAGUUUAAGAAAAACCUUUGAUUUCGGCUCAGAAAAUUGUGGUUAAAGUCCACAAUUCCCUA
rnacentral:tRNA from 1 species